ACUGGUCAGCGGCCUAUCACGCCACUGUAGACUAUUUUCAUAAGAAGCUUAUAUUCAAUCUUCCUAAUACAGAGUUAUUCACAAAUUAAUAAAAGUUUUAGAUAUUAUUCCCUCAUGACAAUUGCAUUGUUUAUAUGACACUUUACCUCGGUUGUGUUUUCUAUAUUAGGCAAACAUAAGAAAGAAGUUUGCAUUCAAGAGAUCUCUGUGGUCCGAGAAUUUUUG
rnacentral:lncRNA from 1 species